ACCGUUCUUGUCUUGGGCAGUAUCUGUUCAAUGAAGGUCACCUGAGAGCAGAGUGCUGACGAUCAUAAGACACAUUUACCCGCACCGCCGAAUUUAUCAUAGUUUGGUAUGGGUGCAAUUUUUGGAACC